AACGUGAUAGUAUAAGUUAUUACUUCUUGUUUACACCAAGAUAAUCUCUAAAUAGAGUUAUGUUU
rnacentral:tRNA from 1 species